rnacentral:rRNA from 1 species
GAUGAACGCUAGCGGCAGGCUUAAUACAUGCAAGUCGAACGGGAAUUGGGUAGCAAUACCUGAUGAUAGUGGCGCACGGGUGCGUAACGCGUAUGCAACCUACCUUUAACAGGGGGAUAGCCCGGAGAAAUUCGGAUUAAUACCCCAUAGUAUUAUGGAGAGGCAUCUUUUCAUGAUUAAAGUUCCGGCGGUUAAAGAUGGGCAUGCGUGCCAUUAGCUAGUUGGUGAGGUAACGGCUCACCAAGGCGACGAUGGUUAGGGGUCCUGAGAGGGUUAUCCCCCACACUGGUACUGAGACACGGACCAGACUCCUACGGGAGGCAGCAGUAAGGAAUAUUGGUCAAUGGGCGGAAGCCUGAACCAGCCAUGCCGCGUGCAGGAAGACGGCCUUAUGGGUUGUAAACUGCUUUUGUCAGGGAAUAAACCCUCGUUUGCGAACGAGGCUGAAGGUACCUGAAGAAUAAGCAUCGGCUAACUCCGUG